UCGUUGUGGCUCUCUCAAAUCAAGCACAAGUUGUUGUUGAUUCGCCAUCAAGCUCAUAUUUUCAUUCAUUUGUCAUUGUUCACUCAAAUGGAGACCGUAAAGUCGUAGCUUUUGCUUUGUGCUUUGGGUUCACCAUUUCAUAAGUUAGGAAUAUUGUGCCUUAGGGUUUGGAAUCAAAGGUGGAUUCUGAGGAUUUCUGUGAAUCAUCAAGGCUCAUGACACAUAAUUGGCGAUUUAUCAAGCAUCAUCUUGGGGCCUCAAUUUUUACCUGUCCAAGACUAUCACCGAGUGAAUCUCCAUACCCAAUAAUGAUAUUGAAGAUUGAGAACAGUAGUGCUAGCCACCAAUAGGUAAAUAUGUAUCUCCUUACAAGAUUGUUUUAGUCCAUGCUUAAAGGGAUUUAUGUGGCUAAAGUUUCUUCCUUUUUACUUUGGCAUAGUACUUCCUAUCUUAGUAUAUGCUUACAUUUCUAUUUUAGAUUUGCUCUUUGUCUUGCUCAU